ACACGCAUGACACACUGCAUAUCAAUAAGCGGAGGAAAAGAAACUAACUAGGAUUCCCUUAGUAACGGCGAGUGAAGCGGGAAGAGCUCAAAUUUGAAAGUCUUCAAGGUUUUACCUUGACGAAUUGUAGUUUAAAGAAGUGUUUUCUGUUGGAAUUUUCGGUAAAAGUUCUUUGGAAAUAGGACAUCAUAAGAGGGUGAGAAUCCCGUAUUUGACCAUUACUUUCCAGCUUUGUGAUACACUUUCAAAGAGUCGGAUUGUUUGGGAAUGCAGUCCAAGAUGGGUGGUAAAUUUCAUCUAAAGCUAAAUACUGGCGAGAGACCGAUAGCGAACAAGUACCGUGAGGGAAAGAUGAAAAGAACUUUGAAAAGAGAGUUAAACAGUACGUGAAAUUGUCAAAAGGGAAGCGUUUGACACCAGUGUUGUUUUCUCGAAAAUCAAUUAAAAAUGAUGGGAUGUUGUGUUGUAUUGACUUUAUCAGCUUUCUGCACUUUUUUUCCUUAUCUUUUUUAAUGCACUUUUCGUUUAACAAGUCAACAUCAAUUUCUUUUGUUGUAAAAGAGUCAUUGGAAGGUGGCUUUCCUUUCGGAUGAAAGUGUUUAUAGCCUUUGGCUUCUGCAAUCGGAGAGAUUGAGGUCUGCAGCGUAGAUCCUUCGGGGUUAGAUACAUUUGUGCUAAGUUAUAGCCUUUUCAUAGACAACAUGUUGACCUAUGAUUAAGUCAUGUAGCUUACUCGCUUAUGCUAUUUUACCUACGCUUAGGAUGUUGAUCUGUAGUGCGUGCGC
rnacentral:rRNA from 1 species